CAGUUGCUCCGGAGCCAGAGCCAGAGCCAGAGCCUCUACCUGUGCCUGCACCCCGAAAGACCCGUUUGAGACUGGUCGUCCUACAGCAGGUGAACCUCCCAUAGAAGACAACUUACGAAUUGCUGUCAUGUUUUAUGGAUCCAACGGACUGUUGCUAUUCGUCUUUAUUGAAAGUAUUGUCAUUUCAUGCUAACUCGCCAUCAUUAGCACCAUCAUCUGCAAUGCUAACUCGCCAUCAUUAGCACAAGGAUAAAGAGCUUUAAUACAUUUCUUGUCAUGAAAAUUUGUGGAAACUCUCUUGGUAGAACAUUAGCGACCAAAGUAGCAUGGUGUUGUAAUGCAGAUAAUCACCCUUUCAUGUAUUUGUAGAAAUUGCUCGUGGAAGUGUAUGUAAGAUUGACAAAUAAACAUCGCUAACCUCA